UAAUACAGAGGGUGCAAGCGUUAAUCGGAAUUACUGGGCGUAAAGGGCGCGUAGGUGGUUCAUUAAGUUAGGUGUGAAAUCCCUGGGCUUAACCUAGGAAUUGCAUUUAAUACUGAUGAGCUAGAGUAUGGGAGAGGUAAGUGGAAUUUCCAGUGUAGCGGUGAAAUGCGUAGAUAUUGGAAGGAACACCAGUGGCGAAGGCGACUUACUGGACCAUUACUGACACUGAGGCGCGAAAGCGUGGGGAGCGAACAGGAUUAGAUACCCUGGUAGUCCACGCCGUAAACGAUGAGAACUAGAUGUUAGGGGGCUUAGACCUCUUAGUAUCGCAGCAAACGCGUUAAGUUCUCCGCCUGGGGAGUACGGCCGCAAGGUUA
rnacentral:rRNA from 1 species